rnacentral:rRNA from 1 species
GACGAACGCUGGCGGCGUGCCUAAUACAUGCAAGUAGGACGCAGUUGCGAACGGGUGAGUAACGCGUUGGUAACUACCUAUUAGAGGGGGAUAACUAUUGGAAACGAUAGCUAAUACCGCAUAUUCGUAGAUGGACCUGCGUUGUAUUAGCUAGUAGGUAGGGUAAUGGCCUACCUAGGCACCCAUACAUAGCCGAACUGAGAGGGUGAGCGGCCAAACUGGUAGUGGUAAACGGCCCAGACUCCUACGGGAAGCAACAGAAGGGAAUCGUCGGCAAUGGGGGGAACCCUGACCGGGCAACGCCGCGUGAGUGAAGAAGGUUUUCGGGUCGUAAAGCUCUGUUGUUAAGGAAACGGUACUUAACCAGAAAGAGACGGCUAACUACGUGCCAGCAGCCGCGGUAAUAC